CUACGUGCCAGCAGCCGCGGUAAUACGGAAGGUCCAGGCGUUAUCCGGAUUUAUUGGGUUUAAAGGGAGUGUAGGCGGUUUGUUAAGCGUGUUGUGAAAUUUAGAUGCUCAACAUUUAACUUGCAGCGCGAACUGUCAGACUUGAGUACACGCAACGUAUGCGGAAUUCAUGGUGUAGCGGUGAAAUGCUUAGAUAUCAUGAAGAACUCCGAUUGCGAAGGCAGCAUACGGGAGUGUAACUGACGCUUAAGCUCGAAGGUGCGGGUAUCGAACAGGAUUAGAUACCCUGGUAGUCCGCACAGUAAACGAUGGAUGCCCGCUGUUAGCGCCUGGCGUUAGCGGCUAAGCGAAAGCAUUAAGCAUCCCACCUGGGGAGUACGCCGGCAACGGCGAAACUCAAAGGAAUUGACGGGGGCCCGCACAAGCGGAGGAACAUGUGGUUUAAUUCGAUGAUACGCGAGGAACCUUACCCGGGCUUGAAUUGCAGAGGAAUUAUUUAGAGAUA
rnacentral:rRNA from 1 species